rnacentral:rRNA from 1 species
GACGAACGCUGGCGGCGUGCUUAACACAUGCAAGUCGAACGGAAAGGCCUCUUUCGGGGGGUACUCGAGUGGCGAACGGGUGAGUAACACGUGAGUAACCUGCCCUUGACUUUGGGAUAACUUCAGGAAACCGGGGCUAAUACCGGAUAGGAGCUCCUGCUGCAUGGUGGGGGUUGGAAAGUUUCGGCGGUUGGGGAUGGACUCGCGGCUUAUCAGCUUGUUGGUGGGGUAGUGGCUUACCAAGGCUUUGACGGGUAGCCGGCCUGAGAGGGUGACCGGCCACAUUGGGACUGAGAGACGGCCCAGACUCCUACGGGAGGCAGCAGUGGGGAAUAUUGCACAAUGGGUGGAAGCCUGAUGCAGCAACGCCGUGUGCGGGAUGACGGCCUUCGGGUUGUAAACCGCUUUCGCUCAUGACGAAGCUUUGUGUGACGGUAGUGGGUAAAGAAGCACCGGCUAACUACGUG